rnacentral:rRNA from 1 species
AUUGAACGCUGGCGGCAUGCUUUACACAUGCAAGUCGAACGGCAGCACGGGCUUCGGCCUGGUGGCGAGUGGCGAACGGGUGAGUAAUAUAUCGGAACGUACCCAGAAGUGGGGGAUUACGUAGCGAAAGUUACGCUAAUACCGCAUACGAUCUAUGGAUGAAAGCAGGGGACCGCAAGGCCUUGUGCUCCUGGAGCGGCCGAUAUCUGAUUAGCUAGUUGGUGAGGUAAAGGCUCACCAAGGCGACGAUCAGUAGCUGGUCUGAGAGGACGACCAGCCACACUGGAACUGAGACACGGUCCAGACUCCUACGGGAGGCAGCAGUGGGGAAUUUUGGACAAUGGGCGCAAGCCUGAUCCAGCAAUGCCGCGUGAGUGAAGAAGGCCUUCGGGUUGUAAAGCUCUUUUGUCAGGGAAGAAACGGUAGAGGCUAAUAUCCUGUUCUAAUGACGGUACCUGAAGAAUAAGCACCGGCUAACUACGUG